AUCCAGAUGAUGAGUCCAGAAAAGGACGAAACGCGCGUCCUGGAU
rnacentral:hammerhead_ribozyme from 1 species